UAUGGCCAUUAUCACAUUGAAACAAUGGUUCGCAUAUGAUCACCAAAGUUAAGCAACAUCGAGCCUGAUCAAUACCUAGAUAGGUGACCGCUUGUGAAUACCAGGUGCUGUAAU